ACAGAAAAAAGGAAGCAAAACUCUACAGUAUUCGGACUAGCUGAUGAUACUACCUCAUCCUGAUGCUUUUUCUUUUCUUAUUCGUUCUUCUUUGGGAGGAUUGUUUUUCUUCAGCCUUAAUGGCUUAAACCCAGAAACCUCUCUAAUUAUUUCUUCCACUGGAACUUCAAUGCCGAGCUUCCUUUCCUAAAGCUUCUCAAUUCCUCUCCAUUCUCUUCAAAACCCACUUAAGGGUAGAUAUGCAAAUAAAUCAGCUUCCUCUAGCCUUCCAGGCCUCGCAACCACCAAAACAGCAUCAGCUCCCUGCAUCUCAAAUAAAGGCAUAUGUUCUGUCAAUGGUGAACAUCAUCUGAAUAGCCCAACAAAGCAUUCUGAAGAUAUUGAUUCAUGUAGUUUGAAUGCACAUUGCAAUUUGCAACAAUGUUGCACUUGCCUACUCUGAGUUGCUGAAGCUCACAUGGACUAUUCAUGAGCCUCCUGCUUUCUGUCCUGAAAAAUGGGCGCACUGAAUGCAAUUACAACACCAGAUUGCUUUAAUUUAUUGACAUUCACCAUUGCCAAAGUUCCAGACAGCACUCACAGACAAGGGAUGCAGGCCCUGCAGGAGUUCAGGUUAUGGAGCUCAAUACCGCAAUUCCGUGGUCGGAGCCAGCGGCAACAACAUUUAUCCUUAAAUCAUUAUAUCAAGAAAACUUCACAUAAUACCACAUUGAUAUAGUUGGUCCGUGAGUUUUGAGGUUUUCAAAAUCAUCCUGUACUCAAGAAUACUGCUGCAGAUUAGUACAUUGGUAUAGUUAGACUCAAAGCUUUGAGGCUUUCAAAAUCACUAUGUAAAGAAACCAUCACACAAAAUGCUGCAAUGGUUAUGGUUUGAUGCAAAAAGUUUGGGAUUUAAUCA